CCUAUGGCUUAACCAUAGAACUGCUUGGGAAACUGAUAGUCUAGAGUGAGGGAGAGGCAGAUGGAAUUGGUGGUGUAGGGGUAAAAUCCGUAGAGAUCACCAGGAAUACCCCAUUGCGAAGGCGAUCUGCUGGAACUCAACUGACGCUAAUGCGUGAAAGCGUGGGGAGCAAACAGGAUUAGAUACCCUGGUAGUCCACGCCCUAAACGAUGUAUACUAGUUGUUGCUAAGCUAGUCUUGGCAGUAAUGCACCUAACGGAUUAAGUAUACCGCCUGGGGAGUACGGUCGCAAGAUUAAAACUCAAAGGAAUAGACGGGGACCCGCACAAGCGGUGGAGCAUGUGGUUUAAUUCGAAGAUACGCGAAGAACCUUACCCGGACUUGAUAUCUAACAAAUCAUCUAGAGAUAGAAGAGUGUCUGCUUGCAGAAAUGUUAAGACAGGUGCUGCACGGCUGUCGUCAGCUCGUGUCGUGAGAUGUUGGGUUAAGUCCCGCAACGAGCGCAACCCACGUCAUUAGUUGCUAACAGUUCGGCUGAGCACUCUAAUGAGACUGCCUUCGUAAGGAGGAGGAAGGUGUGGACGACGUCAAGUCAUCAUGGCCCUUAUGUCCGGGGCGACGCACGUGCUACAAUGGCAUAUACAAUGAGAAGCAAUAUCGCGAGAUGGAGCAAAUCUAUAAAAUAUGUCCCAGUUCGGAUUGGAGUCUGCAACUCGACUCCAUGAAGCCGGAAUCGCUAGUAAUCGUAGAUCAGCCAUGCUACGGUGAAUACGUUCCCGGGUCU
rnacentral:rRNA from 1 species